AUUGAACGCUGGCGGCAUGCCUUACACAUGCAAGUCGAACGGCAGCACGGGAGCAAUCCUGGUGGCGAGUGGCGAACGGGUGAGUAAUAUAUCGGAACGUGCCCAGUCGUGGGGGAUAACGCAGCGAAAGCUGUGCUAAUACCGCAUACGAUCUACGGAUGAAAGCGGGGGAUCGCAAGACCUCGCGCGAUUGGAGCGGCCGAUAUCAGAUUAGCUAGUUGGUGGGGUAAAGGCCCACCAAGGCGACGAUCUGUAGCUGGUCUGAGAGGACGACCAGCCACACUGGAACUGAGACACGGUCCAGACUCCUACGGGAGGCAGCAGUGGGGAAUUUUGGACAAUGGGCGCAAGCCUGAUCCAGCAAUGCCGCGUGCAGGAUGAAGGCCUUCGGGUUGUAAACUGCUUUUGUACGGAACGAAACGGCCCUUUCUAAUACAGGGGGCUAAUGACGGUACCGUAAGAAUAAGCACCGGCUAACUACGUGCCAGCAGCCGCCGUAA
rnacentral:rRNA from 1 species